GAUGAACGCUGGCGGCGUGCCUAAUACAUGCGAGUCGAGCGAACAGACGAGGAGCUUGCUCCUCUGACGUUAGCGGCGGACGGGUGAGUAACACGUGGAUGACCUACCUAUAAGACUGGGAUAACUUCGGGAAACCGGAGCUAAUACCGGAUAAUAUAUUGAACCGCAUGGUUCAAUAGUGAAAGACGGUUUUGCUGUCACUUAUAGAUGGAUCCGCGCCGCAUUAGCUAGUUGGUAAGGUAACGGCUUACCAAGGCAACGAUGCGUAGCCGACCUGAGAGGGUGAUCGGCCACACUGGAACUGAGACACGGUCCAGACUCCUACGGGAGGCAGCAGUAGGGAAUCUUCCGCAAUGGGCGAAAGCCUGACGGAGCAACGCCGCGUGAGUGAUGAAGGUCUUCGGAUCGUAAAACUCUGUUAUUAGGGAAGAACAAAUGUGUAAGUAACUAUGCACGUCUUGACGGUACCUAAUCAGAAAGCCACGGCUAACUACGUG
rnacentral:rRNA from 1 species